rfam:Kluyvera ascorbata ATCC 33433 GKAS.assembly.054, whole genome shotgun sequence.
AUUACCCAUCGUGAUGUGGUUAUUGUAGUCAUAAUUACUUGAUUACACAGGGCAAUAUUUUAUUGCCCUUUAUUUUG